AGCAUAUUUUUAGGAGCCUGUGGGGAGAGGUACAGAUGUAAUAAUACCCUUUAUUCACCCUCUUCCAGAAAAGAGAGUGCAAGGAGCAAGUUAAAAAUGGAAGAUCCCUUUUUGCGUGGUUACUGUCUGUUUUAGAGAAUGGCCAGACACAUAAUAGCAGCUUCCAUCCAGGGCAGGCCCUGACCUGCGGCCUCUUCCACCUCAGCUUCACCACCUUCCUCCAGCUGGAACCAGGGCAGCUGUCACCCUGCGUCAGAUUACAGUGCCUUCUGCAAGCUUUCACCAUGUUUAGAACGACUUUGUUGCUUUUCACUCAGGGAAGGGCCCUCCAAAGCCCACACAAAAGGUGGUCAUCAGCGAAUCGGGGACAUCCUGCUCAGGAACAUGUGCCAGUUAAAGGAGUUUACCAGCUACUUCCAAAGACAUGACGAGGUCCUAACAGAACUGGAAAAGGCUACCAAACACUGUAAGAAGUUGGAGGCAGUGUACAAGGAGUUCGAGCUGCAGAAGGUCUGCUACUUGCCUCUCAACACGUUCCUGCUGAAGCCCAUCCAGCGGCUGCUGCACUACCGCCUGCUGC
rnacentral:sRNA from 1 species